AUGGUUUGGCGCCACAUGUCCCCUCAGAGGAGAAGAAUCACUGCAAAUCAAAAGAAAGUUGUUCUGAGUGGUCACCUUUAUCCCGCCACGGAACUCUUCUC